rnacentral:rRNA from 1 species
GCCACGGUCCUUAGAAGGUGCCAGGCCUGUGGGAUGGUUGCGGUCGCCGGGAAGGCCUCUCCUUGGAGUCGGGUUGCUUGAGAGUGCAGCCCUAAGCAGGUGGUAAACUCCAUCUAAGGCUAAAUACAACCACGAGACCGAUAGCAAACAAGUACCGUGAGGGAAAGUUGAAAAGAACUUUGAAGAGAGAGUUCAAGAGUACGUGAAACCGUUCAGGGGNNNNNNNNNNNNNNNNNNNNNNNNNAAAGGGGAGAUUCAGUAUCCAGUCCGCACCGCCGCUCUGCGCCGUCGGUCGUUCGGGGUCGCCUCGGCGSCCCCGGKUCCGCGGCGCAGUCUCGCGCGCGGGCGGUGGAGCGCACUUCUCCCCGAGUAGGACGCCGCGACCCGCUGGGUGUCGGUCUACGGCCCGGGUGCGAGCCCGCCGCAAGCGACUCGUCGCGCGCGGCGGAGCCCCGGAGUCUCGGCCGACCGCCCGGCGGUCUGUGGUGCGGAACCGGCUCUCGAGACCUCGCGUCCCGAGCCAGUGCCUCGCGCGAGCGUUGCGCGGUAGCCCGUGGACGGACGUGUCCGUCGCGUGCCCGCGCGCGCUGCCGGCGCGGGGAUUUCUCUGGCGGAGCCUACUCCGGUCUGCGGCGCUCAAAUCUGGGCGGCCCACCCGGCCCGUCUUGAAACACGGACCAAGGAGUCUAACACGCGCGCGAGUCGUCGGGUACCACUACACCCGAAGGCGCAUUGAACGAGAAGGCCGGCCUCCGCGCCGGCCGAGGGAAGAUGGAGUCUCCCGCGGGGGACUCCCGCAUUCCCGGGGCGUCUCGUCCUACCGCCGCCCGUCGGCGGAAGGUGAGGCGCACCAAGAGCGCGCGCGUUGGGACCCGAAAGAUGGUGAACUAUGCCUGGCCAGGACGAAGUCAGGGGAAACCCUGAUGGAGGUCCGUAGCGAUUCUGACGUGCAAAUCGAUCGUCGGAGCUGGGUAUAGGGGCGNNNNNNNNNNNNNNNNNNNNNNNNNNNNNNNNNNNNNNNNNNNNNUGGGUGGGAACCGCGGCUUGCUUGAAUGUGAAGCCGCGGACCUUGGAUCGGAGUGCCCAGUGGGCCACUUUUGGUAAGCAGAACUGGCGCUGUGGGAUGAACCAAACGCCGGGUUAAGGCGCCCGAAUCGACGCUCAUUCGAAACCAUGAAAGGUGUUGGUUGCUUAAGACAGCAGGACGGUGGCCAUGGAAGUCGGAAUCCGCUAAGGAGUGUGUAACAACUCACCUGCCGAAGCAACUAGCCCUGAAAAUGGAUGGCGCUGAAGCGUCGUGCCUAUACCCGGCCGCCGGCGGCAGAAGGCGCGCGCCCUCGGGCGUGCGCCGCGAAGCCCCGGUGAGUAGGAGGGUCGCGACGGUGAGCGCAGAAGGGUCUGGGCGCGAGCCUGCCUGGAGCCGCCGUCGGUGCAGAUCUUGGUGGUAGUAGCAAAUACUCCAGCGAGGCCCUGGAGGACUGAUGUGGAGAAGGGUUCCGUGUGAACAGCCGUUGCACACGGGUCAGUCGAUCCUAAGCCCUAGGAGAAAUCCGAUGUUGAUGGUCGCGGGAUGUGCUUGAGAGGUCUUUUGCCUCGCUGGCCGCCCGGUCUCCGCCGCCGCCUCCUUUCUUCCGCCGUCGAACGAAGCGGCGCGCGCGCACGCGGGCCCGCCGCCGUGCGGUCUCUUACGCCAGCGCGCGCGCGCCGCCGGAGCGGAAGAGGAGGAGGAGGAGGAGGGGGACCGGAGGCGCGCCUGCGGAGCGAAUCUCGACGCUCGCACCAGUACCCCGUCCGUCGGGCGAAAGGGAAUCCGGUUCCUAUUCCGGAACCCGGUUGCGGAACCGCACUCACGAUCCUCGUAUUGACACGGUAACGUGAAGGACCCCAGAGAUGCCGUCUGGAGCCCCGGGAAGAGUUUUCUUUUCUGCCUGAGCGUCCGGGUUCCAUGGAAUCCUCUCGCAGGGAGAUAUGGAAUGGGACGCGAAGAGCACCGCAGUUGCUGCGGUGUCCGGGGAGUCCCGUCGGUCCUUGA